rnacentral:lncRNA from 1 species
CCGAUUUUGGAAGAUCCCCGAGGCAUAAACUGCUUGCUCCUUCUUUUGUUCUUCCUUCUUGCCAUCAUAACUAAGCCAGGAAACUCUCAAUAUAGCCAAAUAGGGAUGCUCUCAAGGCUGUGCAAAGCUCUUUUCCAAUAAGUGAAAAAUAGGGAAUGGAAAAGGAGAGAAAGAGAGACGAAUAGAAGAAGAAAGAAUGUGAAAUUG